UCUGAAAUGAUUAGCUCUAAGCAGUCCUGACAUUGAUCGGUGGUUAUGAAAAGAAAUGAGCAAAAUCGCUCAUAACCAAAAGGCUCAUUUCUGCAGAAGUUCACUGCUCAGUACACCCAAUCGGCAGCCCCCCGGGGAGGAGAAGAGCAAAGACGAGGUCUGCAAUGCAGUGGCCACUGGGUGAUCAGACCCUCCAGAGGGCUGUCGGAGCUGAUCUGGUGUCCAGAUAAACGUGGCAUUCAUGCUAGCCAUCUGUCCACAGGGCCGAGACCUGGCAGCUGGGCAUCACCGUGCUGGCCUACUUCAAAGCAGCCCCUUCCCACUGGGCACAUAUGCACGGGCAGGUACACGCGUGUGCCUCAUGGCACAAAGCAAGCAUGGACUGCCAGGCUGGAUGCAGAUAAAUAAACAAAAUGUAC
rnacentral:lncRNA from 1 species